rnacentral:rRNA from 1 species
AUUGAACGCUGGCGGCAUGCCUAAUACAUGCAAGUCGAACGGAAAUGAUGGAAGCUUGCUUCCAGGCGUCGAGUGGCGGACGGGUGAGUAAUACUUAGGAAUCUGCCCAUUAGGUGGGGGACAACAUUCGGAAACGGAUGCUAAUACCGCAUACGCCCGUACGGGGGAAAGCGGGGGAUCUUCGGACCUCGCGCUAAUGGAUGAGCCUAAGCCGGAUUAGCUAGUUGGUGGGGUAAAAGCCUACCAAGGCGACGAUCCGUAGCUGGUCUGAGAGGACGAUCAGCCACACUGGGACUGAGACACGGCCCAG